GUUGUUCAAAACAGGAGCGAACAAUGUUGUGCUGCACCCCGUGAACAAUAUUGUUAACAAGUUGUUGAACCAUCAACAUUGUUGCAACUUGUUGACAAUCAUGUUAACAACUUGUUAACAAUAUUGUUCACGGGGUGCAGCACAACAUUGUUCACUCCUGUUUGAACAAC